GCGGACGGCUCAGUAACACGUAGUCAACCUAACUCGUGGACGUGGAUAACCUCGGGAAACUGAGAAUAAACCACGAUAGAUCAUAAUGCCUGGAAUGGCUUAUGGUCCAAACAGUUUACUGCCAUGGGAUGGGACUGCGGCCUAUCAGCUUGUUGGUGAGGUAAUGGCCCACCAAGGCGAUUACAGGUACGGGCUCUGAGAGGAGAAGCCCGGAGAUGGGUACUGAGACACGGACCCAGGCCCUAUGGGGCGCAGCAGGCGAGAAACCUUAGCAAUGUGCGAAAGCACGACUGGGUCAGUCCGAGUGAUUCCUGAUAAAGGAGUCUUUUGCUUGUCCUAAAAGCACAGGUGAAUAAGGGGUGGGCAAGUCUGGUGUCAGCCGCCGCGGUAAUACCAGCACCUCGAGUGGUCAGGACGUUUAUUGGGCCUAAAGCAUCCGUAGCCUGCUCUGCAAGUCUUCGGUCAAAUCCACCUGCUCAACAGAUGGGCUGCUGGAGAUACUACAGAGCUAGGGAGUGGGAGAGGCAGACGGUAUUCAGUGGGUAGGGGUAAAAUCCUCUGAUCCAUUGAGGACCACCAGUGGCGAAGGCGGUCUGCCAGAACACGUUCGACGGUGAGGGAUGAAAGCUGGGGGAGCAAACCGGAUUAGAUACCCGGGUAGUCCCAGCUGUAAACGAUGCAAACUCGGUGAUGCAUUGGCUUAUGGCCA
rnacentral:rRNA from 1 species